GAUCAUGGCUCAGAUUGAACGCUGGCGGCAGGCCUAACACAUGCAAGUCGAACGGUAACAGGAAGAAGCUUGCUUCUUUGCUGACGAGUGGCGGACGGGUGAGUAAUGUCUGGGAAACUGCCUGAUGGAGGGGGAUAACUACUGGAAACGGUAGCUAAUACCGCAUAACGUCGCAAGACCAAAGAGGGGGGACCUUCGGGCCGUCUUGCCAUCGGAUGUGCCCAGAUGGGAUUAGCUAGUAGUGGGG
rnacentral:rRNA from 1 species